rnacentral:lncRNA from 1 species
UACUUUUGUUUUAAGAAUUGUAUAUCAAAAACGUUUCGCGAUAAUGCUACAAACCAAUCCGCAAAUCGUUAUAUGAUAGACCAUGGAUUUUACCUGUAAGACCCGAUCCCGGCCUACUAGGCCGCGGUCGAUGCCUCACGUCGCUCAGUCCAUACCAGGAACGAACCUCUAAAAAUUUUUGCCCUUUAUUUAAAAUAUCGCCCAUUGGCGAGGGCUAAUUCAGAUCUUAGCUCAAGACUACCUUAGUCAUUCCCUAGCUUAGAUCAU